rnacentral:rRNA from 1 species
UUUCCGUUGGAGGGGUACUGCGGAGGGAUCAUUACUGAGUUUACGCUCUACAACCCUUUGUGAACAUACCUAUAACUGUUGCUUCGGCGGGUAGGGUCUCCGUGACCCUCCCGGCCUCCCGCCCCCGGGCGGGUCGGCGCCCGCCGGAGGAUAACCAAACUCUGAUUUAACGACGUUUCUUCUGAGUGGUACAAGCAAAUAAUCAAAACUUUUAACAACGGAUCUCUUGGUUCUGGCAUCGAUGAAGAACGCAGCGAAAUGCGAUAAGUAAUGUGAAUUGCAGAAUUCAGUGAAUCAUCGAAUCUUUGAACGCACAUUGCGCCCGCCAGCAUUCUGGCGGGCAUGCCUGUUCGAGCGUCAUUUCAACCCUCAAGCUCUGCUUGGUGUUGGGGCCCUACGGCUGACGUAGGCCCUCAAAGGUAGUGGCGGACCCUCCCGGAGCCUCCUUUGCGUAGUAACUUUACGUCUCGCACUGGGAUCCGGAGGGACUCUUGCCGUAAAACCCCCAAUUUUCCAAAGGUUGACCUCGGAUCAGGUAGGAAUACCCGCUGAACUUAAGCAUAUC